UGUAAUCACAUAUAUGCUUUAUACAAUCUAUGUAGGACGUAUUUUGUAUAAUCCAAAAAACGAUGUAUUUUAUAUAAUCGUUGUAUGAUCUACUUUAUGUGAUCAUAGAUAUGAGAUAUUUUGUAGAAUUCUAUGAUGAUGUAUUUUACGGAUGAGAUGUGUAUGAGAAGAGUCAUAUUAGACUCGAAACGUUUUUCUCUCGCUGCCAGACCUGGCGAGUUUCUCCAGCAGUUUCUGUUUUCAUUGCAAAGUUUCACAGUUUGAGAGUAUUUGCUGCUGUCGCACUGUUGAACCAAGACUUUCGUUUCACGGGCAUGAGGAUAACAGUGAGCCAUAAAUUUUCAAUAUUACUUUGCGGGAACUGUUUACUUGCGAAAGUGUUGGGAACGAAGUGAGAAUAUCUCCGGGUAGGGGCAGAGCCAAUAGUGUGUCAAAGUUCCCACUCACCACAGGUACCAAGUUAAUAGCAACCCCACAUUUUCGAGGCAGAGAACCGGUCCGAACCCAACUGACCCGCAGUUAAUUACGAGAAGGUUGCAAGUUAUAAAUAAUCUGGUUAUUGCUGGUAAGAGCUCGCUAUCCGCAGGACAGAUAGUCUUUCAGUCAGGGUAGAAGUCACAUGGAGGGAGGUUACUGUAAAUCACAUCGCAGCCCUGUGAUGUUAUCGCCGGCUGUACCGAGUGAGUUAUUGACCUGUCAUUCACCACCAAGUGGUGAAGCUAACCCCGCCUGGCCCUGGGAAAAAUCCACGUGGAAAGCGCGGGGAUUUAUGAGGCGAGUGGCGACCAUCGCUCACAGCCCAGCCAUUACCCCAUCAGCGAGCUUCCCCCCAUGGGUCACUGAGACCGACUGAGAACUGCCUGCAACUUUCCUCAAAUUCGAGGUGGACACCAGACUCCAGACAGAGACAAUGUCCGAAGGGAGAGUGACUUCAAUACAAAAAUUGCAGCGUCAUUUCAGUGUGAGUUGGUCAAGUUUGACAAGAGUGUGGGCUCAGAAUCUCAGGUGUUCCAGGAUUUCAAUGUGAAACUCCAACCGCUUCUCCUACCCCAACAAUGAGUGAACUAUUAUCUCUCUCUCUCUCCACUGCUGUGCAUAUUUGAACCAGUUUUCCAAUUUCUCCUCAAAUUCCACCCAGACCCGAGUUACCAACCUAUUCAGUGAAAUGAAUGAUGUGAAUAAUACGGUUUUCACAAUGGAAUAAUUAAUUUGCUCCAACUAUUAAAACAAGAGAGAAUGAUGAAGUGACUUGAAUGGGAGCCUCGGAGGAGCCUCAUUGUUUGUCCUUUAAUGAGCUUUUUGGUAAAUGGCGGGGAAAAUAUUGUCCUGUUUCUCUGUAAUAUGAUCGAGGUAAAAGUGUAUUAAGAGUCGAAAUCCCCCAGCGCAAUGCGUUCGGAAAAGGCUCCCGCCCAUUAUUUGCGAGGGUUUGUGUCUUUGCUUCAGUUUAUAGUUGAUUAGAGUCGACACUGCUGGAACUACACACACUACCAUGAUAUGGGGCAGGUAGAUUCUAAUGAGCUGCCGAGUGAUAAAUUUCAUAAUUAUUCUACCCACUGCUAACAGAAAAUUCAUCAGUCAAGGCAAAUUAGUUCAGAUUCAUUAGAAUAAGGAAUCUAACGGGCACAUAUACUUUAUUAGUUUACACCAAUAGGUUUAAUUAGCUACAUAUUUCACAGCUACAGUACUGUUCCUGCUUGCUCUUAAGGAAGGGACUGCUUUAUGUCUUUUAUUUACAGUAACAAGCUAUCAGGGCCCACGUUAACCCCGUCAUUAAUUCUGAAAGACGAGAUAGGUUUGCUUUAUUAACCAGAGUCCCGUCAGGUCUUCCCUCGUCUCUGAACUGGGCAACUGUUAUUUUCUCCCCUCUCGCUUUCUAGUCGCCCACCUUUCCACCUACCCCCCACCCCCACCCCCGCCCCAAAUUAAUUCGGCUGACUAAA